CUGGCGGCACGCUUAACACAUGCAAGUCGAACGGAGAAUAUUGGUUACUGAGUACUCUAGUGGCGGACGGGUGAGUAACACGUGAGCAACCUACCUUGAGAGAGGGAUAGCUUCUGGAAACGGAUGGUAAUACCUCAUGACAUAUACUUAAGGCAUCUUAGGUAUAUCAAAGAUUUAUCACUCAGAGAUGGGCUCGCGUCUGAUUAGCUAGAUGGUGAGGUAACGGCUCACCAUGGCGACGAUCAGUAGCCGGACUGAGAGGUUGAACGGCCACAUUGGGACUGAGACACGGCCCAGACUCCUACGGGAGGCAGCAGUGGGGAAUAUUGCACAAUGGGGGAAACCCUGAUGCAGCGAUGCCGCGUGGAGGAAGAAGGUUUUCGGAUUGUAAACUCCUGUCUUAAAGGACGAUAAUGACGGUACUUUAGGAGGAAGCUCCGGCUAACUACGUGCCAGCAGCAGC
rnacentral:rRNA from 1 species